GAAUAAUGAGUUGUUUAUUUCCCUCAAAAAAAAUGUUUAUUAUCUUUCCUCGAUAGCCCUCCCUUGUCUUUACUGUUAGACUAGUGCGAGAGAAAAGAUUCUGUGCAUAGCUUUACUAAGAGAGAGAGAGAGAGCGAGCGAGUAGAGGAGGAGAUCAAUGGCGGAAUUCCAACAGAAAGCUUUUGGUUUAGCGGCGACAGAUAGCUCCGGCGUUCUCUCUCCCUUCCAUUUCUCUCGCAGGUAUGUAUGUUAAAACAUGGAAUUAUCAUAAUGCAUAGAGAAAGAGAAGCUAAAGAUUGUAAUUGUAUUUCUUGUUGUUGUAUUGCUUAUGUUUUCUGAAGAAUUCUAUCAUCCUUUAUAAUGUAUUACAUGAUAUUAAAGUCAUACCAGGAUCCCUUUGAUUAAGGGAUCCGUGGUAAAUCUUUGACAGAUAAAUAAAGGCACGCUUCUCCUCUUUCUGACUUUUGCUGCUUGCUAAUCUUGACUUCUGUAGAAUGCAAAUCUUGACUUCUGUAGUGUUACUUUCAACACUCCCCCUCAAGUUGAGUAACGGGAUUCCCGAUAUUCAACUUGCCAAGAACUUCUGAAAAACUCUUGGAGUUCAUAAUUCUGAGCGCAGCUUCCAUGUGGUCGGCUUGUGGUUGGUGCAAGAAUUGACUCACAACCCCAACAGCAUAUGCAAUAUCCGGUCGAUAAAUGCAUGAAAAUCAAAUGAUUCAUUUGAUUUUGA
rnacentral:lncRNA from 1 species